AUCUACACGGUAGCCUAGUGAACAUGGCAUCCGCCAGAUAAGCGGAACACUGUGGGUUCGAUUCCCAUCCCUGGACA
rnacentral:tRNA from 1 species